rnacentral:rRNA from 1 species
AACGAACGCUGGCGGCGUGCCUAACACAUGCAAGUCGAACGGAGAUAGGAAGCUUGCUUCUUAUUUUAGUGGCGCACGGGUGAGUAACGCGUGGAUAAUCUACCUGAUGCUCUGGGAUAACAUCUCGAAAGGGGUGCUAAUACCGGAUAAGCCCACGAGAUCUUCGGAUCAUGCGGGAAAAGGAGGGGACCUUCGGGCCUUCCGACAUCAGAUGAGUCCGCGUCCCAUUAGCUAGUCGGCGGGGUAAUGGCCCACCAAGGCUACGAUGGGUAGCUGGGCUGAGAGGUUGAUCAGCCCCACUGGAACUGAGACACGGUCCAGACUCCUACGGGAGGCAGCAGUGGGGAAUUUUGCGCAAUGGGGGAAACCCUGACUCAGCGACGCCGCGUGAGUGAUGAAGGCUUUCGGGUCGUAAAGCUCUGUCUGAAGGGAAGAAAUGUAGGUGGCUAAUAUCCAUUCUACUUGACGGUACCUUCAAAGGAAGCACCGGCUAACUCCGUGCCAGCAGCCGCAGUAAAAC